UCCCUGGUGGCUCAGAUGGUAAAGAAUCUGCCUGCAAUGCAGGAGAUUUAGGUUUGAUUCCUGGGUUGGGAA
rnacentral:tRNA from 1 species